CUAACUCCGUGCCAGCAGCCGCGGUAAUACGGAGGGUGCAAGCGUUGUCCGGAAUCAUUGGGCGUAAAGAGUUCGUAGGUGGUUUGUUAAGUUUGGUGUUAAAUGCAGAGGCUCAACUUCUGUUCGGCAUCGGAUACUGGCAGACUAGAAUGCGGUAGAGGUAAAGGGAAUUCCUGGUGUAGCGGUGAAAUGCGUAGAUAUCAGGAGGAACAUCGGUGGCGUAAGCGCUUUACUGGGCCGUAAUUGACACUGAGGAACGAAAGCCAGGGUAGCAAAUGGGAUUAGAUACCCCAGUAGUCCUGGCCGUAAACGAUGGAUACUAGGUGUUGCGGGUAUCGACCCCUGCAGUGCCGUAGCAAACGCGUUAAGUAUCCCGCCUGGGGAGUACGCACGCAAGUGUGAAACUCAAAGGAAUUGACGGGGACCCGCACAAGCGGUGGAACAUGUGGUUUAAUUCGAAGCAACGCGAAGAACCUUACCAGGGCUUGACAUCUAACAAACCUUUGUGAAAGCAGAGGGUGCUCUUCGGAGAAUGUUAAGACAGGUGGUGCACGGUUGUCGUCAGCUCGUGUCGUGAGAUGUUGGGUUAAGUCCCGCAACGAGCGCAACCCCCGUCGUUAGUUGGUACUAUCGGUAUACUUAUAGUAACCUCUCUAGCGAGACUGCCGGUGAUAAACCGGAGGAAGGUGAGGACGACGUCAAAUCAUCAUGCCCCUUAUGCUCUGGGCUACACACGUGUUACAAUGGCCGGUACAAUGAGCCGCCAACUCGCGAGAGUGAGCAAAUCUCUAAAAGCCGGUCUCAGUUCGGAUUGCAGUCUGCAACUCGACUGCAUGAAGUCGGAAUCGCUAGUAAACGCAGAUCAGCACGCUGCGUUGAAUACGUUCCCGGGUCUUGUACACACCGCCCGUCACACCAUGGAAGUCGACCACGCCCGAAGUACGUGAGCUAACCGUAAGGAAGCAGCGUCCUAAGGCAGGGUUGGUGACUGGGGUGAAGUCGUAACAAGGUAGCCGUACCGGAAGGUGUGGCUG
rnacentral:rRNA from 1 species